GACGAACCGUACGAACGUUAUUCGGAAUCACUGGGCUUAAAGGGUGCGUAGGCUGCGCAGCAAGUUGGGUGUGAAAUCCCUCGGCUUAACCGAGGAACUGCGCCCAAAACUGCUGUGCUCGAGGGAGAUAGAGGUGAGCGGAACUUAGGGUGGAGCGGUGAAAUGCGUUGAUAUCCUAAGGAACACCGGUGGCGAAAGCGGCUCACUGGAUCUCUUCUGACGCUGAGGCACGAAAGCGUGGGGAGCGAACAGG
rnacentral:rRNA from 1 species